rnacentral:rRNA from 1 species
UACGUAGGGCGCAAGCGUUGUCCGGAAUCAUUGGGCGUAAAGAGCUCGUAGGCGGCCUGUUGCGUCCGCUGUGAAAUCCCGGGGCUUAACCCCGGGCGUGCAGUGGAUACGGGCUGGCUGGAGGCAGGCAGGGGAGAACGGAAUUCCCGGUGUAGCGGUGAAAUGCGCAGAUAUCGGGAGGAACACCGGUGGCGAAGGCGGUUCUCUGGGCCUGUACUGACGGCUGAGGAGCGAAAGCGUGGGGAGCGAACAGG